AGAGGGGGAGAAAAGGAACAGCUUAGAAACCUGCUCAUGGAACAAUUCUCACUAGUUAGAACCUGAGAACUCUUGGGGCUCUGAGCCUGCUCUCAACCAUAUCAGUGAAACUUCAUUAACUUGGACAUAGUUACUCUUGGUUCACACCAAAGGAAAAUCAAGUGGGGUGGGGGGGGGGACGACACCCUGGUUUUUCAGAAGCACUGAGCACCUGUGAGUCCAAUUGUCUCCAGAAGGAGUUGCAGCUGCCCAGUAUAUGUGGCCAUUAUCAGU